rnacentral:lncRNA from 1 species
GCGAAAAUGCACCAAAAUUUGCAGAUAAGUCCUAUAAUUCAUGCUCAAAGUUUCAAAACCUUCGAAAUAAUUUUUUGACCUUUAAAACUAAUAAUGAACCCUUUAGUUGCCACAAUUUGCUGAAAUAGUGUCAAAGCAUCCAAGAAGCUUAAAAGCUCACCCAAAACUCAUUUGGCACUUCCCGAACACAAACCAAAUAUGCUACUAGCUUGAAAAUGACAUUUCGG